AUUGAACGCUGGCGGCAGGCCUAACACAUGCAAGUCGAACGAGUGGCGGACGGGUGAGUAAUGUCUGGGAAACUGCCCGAUGGAGGGGGAUAACUACUGGAAACGGUAGCUAAUACCGCAUACCAUCGGAUGUGCCCAGAUGGGAUUAGCUAGUCGGUGGGGUAACGGCAAACCUAGGCGACGAUCCCUAGCUGGUCCGAGAGGAUGACCAUCCACACUGGAACUGAGACACGGGCCAGACUCCUACGGCAGGCAGCAGUGGGGAAUAUUGCACAAUGGGCGCAGGCCUGAUACAGCCAUGCCGCGUGUAUGAAUAAGGCCUUCGGGUUGUAAAGGACUGUCAGCGAGGAGGCGUUACUCGCAGAAGAAGCACCGGCUAACUCCGUGCCAGCCGCCGCGGUAAUAC
rnacentral:rRNA from 1 species